GCAGUGUCGGCACAUCCGGGCACUGGGGCAGGAUGAGCGCUCCUUUCCAAGAUGGCGGCGGAGGGAGGUGGGAAGGAGAUGAACGAGAUUAAGACCCAGUUCACCACCCGGGAGGGGCUGUACAAGCUGCUGAGCCACUCGGAGUACAGCCGGCCUAACCGCGUGCCCUUCAACUCGCAGGGCUCUAACCCCGUCCGCGUCUCCUUCGUCAACGUCAACGACCAGAGCGGCAACGGGGACCGGCUCUGCUUCAAUGUGGGCCGGGAGCUCUACUUCUACAUCUACAAGGGGGUCCGCAAGGCUGCGGACUUGAGUAAACCAAUAGACAAAAGGAUAUACAAAGGAACACAGCCUACAUGCCACGACUUCAAUCAUUUAACAGCCACAGCAGAAAGUGUGUCUCUUCUAGUGGGCUUCUCUGCAGGCCAGGUCCAACUUAUAGACCCUAUUAAAAAAGAAACUAGCAAAUUAUUUAAUGAGGAAAGACUAAUAGACAAGUCCCGAGUAACCUGUGUAAAAUGGGUGCCAGGUUCGGAAAGCCUUUUCCUAGUAGCUCAUUCCAGUGGCAAUAUGUACUUGUAUAACGUGGAGCACACUUGUGGUACCACAGCCCCGCACUACCAGCUACUUAAACAAGGAGAGAGUUUUGCAGUGCACACUUGCAAGAGUAAAUCCACAAGAAACCCUCUGCUUAAAUGGACAGUAGGUGAGGGUGCCCUGAAUGAAUUUGCCUUUUCCCCUGAUGGGAAGUUCUUGGCGUGUGUGAGCCAGGAUGGUUUUCUUCGCGUGUUUAACUUUGAUUCGGUGGAAUUGCAUGGUACAAUGAAAAGCUACUUUGGAGGACUGCUGUGUGCGUGUUGGAGCCCCGAUGGGAAAUACAUAGUGACAGGUGGAGAGGAUGACUUGGUGACAGUUUGGUCUUUCGUGGACUGUCGAGUCAUAGCGCGAGGCCACGGACACAAAUCGUGGGUCAGUGUCGUUGCGUUUGAUCCAUAUACCACUAGUGUAGAAGAGAGUGACCCGAUGGAAUUUAGCGGAAGCGAUGAGGAUUUCCAAGACCUUCAUUUUGGCAGAGAUCGAGCAAAUAGCACGCAAUCUAGACUAUCCAAAAGGAACUCUACAGACAGUCGUCCAGUAAGUGUUACGUAUAGAUUUGGUUCGGUAGGCCAGGACACACAGCUCUGUUUAUGGGAUCUUACAGAAGAUAUCCUCUUCCCCCACCAACCUCUCUCAAGAGCAAGGACACAUACAAAUGUCAUGAAUGCCACAAGUCCACCUGCAGGAAGUGGUGGAACUAACCCAGGAAGUAAUGGAAACAGUAUCACAACACCUGGAAACUCUGUACCCCCUCCUCUUCCACGGUCAAACAGCCUUCCACACUCUGCAGUCUCAAAUGCUGGCAGUAAAAGCAGUGUCAUGGAUGGUGCCAUUGCUUCUGGCGUUAGUAAAUUUGCAACCUUAUCGCUACACGAUCGGAAGGAAAGACACCAUGAAAAAGAUCACAAGAGAAACCAUAGCAUGGGACAUAUAUCUAGCAAGAGCAGUGACAAACUGAACCUAGUUACUAAAACCAAAACGGACCCAGCUAAAACUUUGGGAACACCUCUCUGUCCCCGAAUGGAAGAUGUUCCCUUGUUAGAGCCUCUUAUCUGUAAAAAGAUAGCACAUGAAAGACUGACUGUGUUAAUUUUUCUUGAAGACUGUAUAGUCACUGCUUGUCAGGAGGGAUUUAUUUGCACAUGGGCAAGGCCUGGUAAAGUGGUAAGUUUUAAUCCUUAAUGCUGCAUCAAAGAGCUAGAACUCUGAAUAGAUAGUUUUCUUGAAAUAUAAUGAAUGUUGAAUAUAAAAUUUCUUUAUGCUUAAUGUAAAAAAAUAUCCUCAGAGCCAUACUUUUGGAUACUGCAUGCCAUAUUUCUGAAUGAUUUGAAGUGUCUUGGAUACAAUUAUUAAAUAUAGUUGCCUUCCAGCAGAAGAAAUAAAUACUGUGCAUCUAAACUAUUGAUCAGUGUUCUUAUACUUAAGCAUAACCACAAUAUGGUGAAAGCUAUUUAUGUAAAAAUUGAAGUAAAACCUGUCAAACACUAAAAUAAUCAUAAUCCUUCUAAUGUUUUCUAAAAAAUAAGCACUCCCAAUGAGAGUAGCUUAUGAAAAGCUGCUGCUUCUAAGUCUAAUGAGAAACGUGAGCCUCUGAAAAAGUGAAAACCAAAGUGUUUUAUUCCUCCAUUCUUUUCUGUGGUGGCCUGCCAUUAAUGUGAAACCACUUCUUAUUAAAACAUCAGCCAUUUUAUGCACAGAUUUGUGAGCCCUGUACUGACUGUAGUUUAUGCUCUUAAAUUGUGAAUCAGUAUUAACAAGGAACUCUAAUUAUAGCCAGGUUUUGAUUUAUGUAUUUAAGUUAGGGAAAAUCCUGCAAGCUUUCUCUCAGUAGUUUCAGUGUUCUGUUCCUGUCAGGUUUGUUAAGGCAGUUCAACCACUACAAGCUCGUGUUUUUGAUAGCACCUGUUCCAUCAGCUGAACCUACAUUAGUCUAUUACUAGUUUUCACUCUUGUUGUUGAUGCACUUGAACACCUAUAAUAUUUUAUUUUUCUUCUGUCCGAUGUAUAGAUAGCUAAAUUUUGACUGAAGCUAAAUGUGGUGAUUCUUACAUUAAAAAGUACUUUGUGCUACAAUAGCUCUGCUUGCCAGCAACUGUUUAAAGGAAUACAGCUAUGAAAACAUUUUCAGAGUUGAUCUGAGAAAAAGAAACAUUAUUUUUGUGAAAAUUUCUGAAAGGGGAUGUAGACUAUCACCUGAAGUAAGAGAAAUGAUCUGGUAAUACCUGAAUAAUGCCAUGUUGAGCAACUUAAAUGAAAAUCUGUUGUUUGUUAGAUUUUAACCAUUUGGUUCAUAAAUCUGACUUCUGAAGUAGAGGUACUGUAUAUAUUUAGAUACCACAUCUUCAUUACUAUAAACUUGCAAGUAAAACUCAAUUAUUUUUCUUAAAAUUGUUUGUAUAAUGUAGGCUUUUUUGAGAUCUUAUCAAAUUGGUCACAACAUUCGUAUGCGUAAAAAUCUGUGUCUGUUCUGCAUCUUAAUGCAUAUUUAAAGAUUAAAUCUAAAACCUAAAAUUGAAAACCCCUUUAUGGGAGAAGGGAGGAGGGUGUUACCUAAAAGUAUUUUUUGCCUAAGAACUACAAAUCCAGCAUUAAUUUAAAAAAGAAAAAACCAACACUCCCUUAAAACACUAAACUAUUUAAAAUGUUUGUUCAAAAUGAAAGUGUUAAAGCAAUUAUACUUUUGUGACUCAGUGCACUUCAUAUCUUGUUAAUUACAGCAGUGCCUCAGAUUCUUAUUGUGAGCUACAUUUUCCUUUUGUUCUAAAGCUCCUUUGAAUACUAUUAAACACUACACUGUCACAUUUAUUUUUCAGUGGCUGAGGUGGGUUUUGUUAGACUGAGUAUAACUUAAAUAUUUUUGUGUAUUGACUUUGAUUUGGAAUAUGACAUUUCAAAUAUUUCAGAGAUAAAGUAUGCAGUACCAAAAAUCAGGAUUUAUGUUUUGGCCAAUAUGGGAAACUUUAACUACAGAUUCAGCAGAACACAGACAUGGCUGUCUCUAGAUUCUCUCUGCACACCUGUCCGGUAGGAGCUGGGGCAGAGUGUCGUCAUUCCUUCUAGGACUCUACAGGAGCUCUUUCCUCUGUGGACUCUGGUGCAGGUGACCUCUGUUAAGAGAAAAACUCCUUUAUAUACACAGAAGAGAAGUUGCAAGUGAAACCCUAAAGGUGCUACAGUCUUUUAUAAGGGUUUAUUGUCAUCCCAAAACCAGGCCAAUUCUCCAAGUGGAACUGUAGUAUAGCCAUCACACUACUGCUAGCAAAUCUCUGAACGCAGGACAAGAAGUAAUGACAGUGGAACCACGAGCUGUUCUUCAGGCAAAGAGCGUCACAAAUUGUAAUGUGGCAGAGUGUAAACAUGGAAUUAUGUGAAUCACAUAGUGACUUGCAAAGGACAAAUGUAAGGAGUUCUCACUACAGCUGAUCCUGCUAGGCUGCUCACCCAAGGAAGAGUUUGCAUUGGAGAAAAAGCAAAAAGCUUCCUUUAAUAUUGCAGGAAAAAGUAGUAACGUUUUUGUUUUCUUUAUACUUUUCAAGUCCAGUGUAAUUUAAUCUCUCUAUAAAUAUAUAAAUAAAAGAUAUAAAUAUAUAUAUAUAUAUAGUGUAAAAUAAGAUAUGUUUCUUAAAUUCAAGUAAGUUCAAUGGUUAAACUAGUACUUCACCAUUGUUUAUUUUGCACUGAUUUUUUUAACCAGAGAUGGCUAGAAGACAGCCUGGAAUGCACUCAUGGAAAAUGAAAGUCAUUACUUUCUGGCUUCAAAAUGUUUUUCAGGAAGAUGGAUGCUGCAAUCAUAGAUUUUUUUAAAACAAAAUUGUUUUGCACUUAAAUAGUUUAAUGCUUAUAGAGAAUUACUUUAAAAUUGGUGUCCAGACACCAGAAAAACUAUGUUGUGGAGAAAAGAUCCUUUGUAUCUAUUAAACAUUUAUUUUAAUAUUGUUGUUUCCAACUGCAAUCGGCUCUGUAUUAUAUGUAUAAAUAAUGUAAUUCAGUGAUGGGGGAUGGGAGUAAUGGAUCAUUACACUAGAAAUUCUCAUUCAUUUAAGAAAGUGAUAUUUCUAAUUCAGAAAAUACAUAUUAAACUAUCUUGAAUAUGCAUUUUUGUUUACUUUCUGUUCAAAUCCAAUCACUUUUGAUGUAACCAAUUCUUUGCUGAAUUAAAUGUUUGGUACAGAAAUACUA